CCUACGGGAGGCAGCAGUGAGGAAUAUUGGUCAAUGGACGAGAGUCUGAACCAGCCAAGUAGCGUGAAGGAUGACUGCCCUAUGGGUUGUAAACUUCUUUUAUAUGGGAAUAAAAUGUUCCACGUGUGGGAUUUUGUAUGUACCAUAUGAAUAAGGAUCGGCUAACUCCGUGCCAGCAGCCGCGGUAAUACGGAGGAUCCGAGCGUUAUCCGGAUUUAUUGGGUUUAAAGGGAGCGUAGGUGGAUUGUUAAGUCAGUUGUGAAAGUUUGCGGCUCAACCGUAAAAUUGCAGUUGAAACUGGCAGUCUUGAGUACAGUAGAGGUAGGCGGAAUUCGUGGUGUAGCGGUGAAAUGCUUAGAUAUCACGAAGAACUACGAUUGCGAAGGCAGUUCACUGGACUGCAACUGACACUGAGGCUCGAAAGUGUGGGUAUCAAACAGGAUUAGAUACCCGUGUAGUC
rnacentral:rRNA from 1 species